rnacentral:rRNA from 1 species
GAUGAACGCUAGCUACAGGCUUAACACAUGCAAGUCGAGGGGAAACGAUAUUGGAAGCUUGCUUCCGAUAGGCGUCGACCGGCGCACGGGUGAGUAACGCGUAUCCAACCUGCCCACCACUUGGGGAUAACCUUGCGAAAGUAAGACUAAUACCCAAUGAUAUCUCUGGAAGACAUCUGAAGGAGAUUAAAGAUUUAUCGGUGAUGGAUGGGGAUGCGUCUGAUUAGCUUAUUGGCGGGGUAACGGCCGACCAAGGCGACGAUCAGUAGGGGUUCUGAGAGGAAGGUCCCCCACAUUGGAACUGAGACACGGUCCAAACUCCUACGGGAGGCAGCAGUGAGGAAUAUUGGUCAAUGGACGAGAGUCUGAACCAGCCAAGUAGCGUGCAGGAUGACGGCCCUAUGGGUUGUAAACUGCUUUUAUAAGGGAAUAAAGUGAGCCUCGUGAGGCUUUUUGCAUGUACCUUAUGAAUAAGGACCGGCUAAUUCCGUGCCAGCAGCCGCCGUAA